UCAUUAUAUGUAUGAUCUGGAC
rnacentral:miRNA from 1 species